rnacentral:rRNA from 1 species
UACGUAGGGUGCGAGCGUUGUCCGGAAUUAUUGGGCGUAAAGGGCGCGUAGGUGGCCACUUCAAGCGUGCGGUGAAAGUCGGGGGCUCAACCCCUGAUCGGCCGUGCGAACUGGGGGGCUGGAGCACUGUAGAGGCAGGCGGAAUUCCGGGUGUAGCGGUGGAAUGCGUAGAGAUCCGGAAGAACACCGGUGGCGAAGGCGGCCUGCUGGGCAGUUUUGCUGACACUGAGGCGCGACAGCGUGGGGAGCAAACAGG